CCCAGUUCGGAUCGCAGGCUGCAACCCGCCUGCGUGAAGUCGGAAUCGCUAGUAAUCGCGGAUCAGCAUGCCGCGGUGAAUACGUUCCCGGGCCUUGUACACACCGCCGUCACACCAUGAGAGUCGGGAACACCCGAAGUCCGUAGCCUAACCGCGAGGAGGGCGCGGCCGAAGGUGGGUUCGAUAAUUGGGGUGAAGUCGUAACAAGGUAUC
rnacentral:rRNA from 1 species